AUUAACAGCGGGAAAGCCAUCCACACGAAGGUUGUGGAGAGGCUGGCUGACCCUCAUGCAGCUCCAGUAAAGUGCCCUGGCCAGAGUCAACACCACCAGCAACAACGCCGCAGCCCACGAGGCAUAAAUACCCCCGUACACCUGCGCCUGAGACCACGUUCCUGCCUGCAAACACACACAUGGAAACGUCACGCAUUUCAGUUUUGAAAUGACAAAUGGUAACAUAUUACACAUUUGAGCAAAUGAAUCAGUAUGAAUUUAGGAAAUCAAAUAAAAUACAAUUUCAGAAGGGUUACAUCCCUUGUUUAAAAAUAUAAUUUUUAAUUUUGGGAAAAGGCUAAUUUUAACUACCCUAGAGUUACAAAGUUAAGUUUUAGCAUGAAUCCCAUGUUUGAAUCCCUUCAAAUGAUCUAUGGGUCAAGUUUUAAUACUUUUAGCUUAGCUUAGCAUAGAUCAAUGAAUCAGAUUAGACCAUAAGCAUAUCCC
rnacentral:lncRNA from 1 species